rnacentral:lncRNA from 1 species
CUACCGCCUCAUCGGCACUGCCUGUUUUUGGUCUGAAUGAGAUGUGCCUUAUAAGUCCCAAGCCUGUGACUACUGGGCUCACAGUUGGUGGCUGUUGGAGGAGAAUUAGAAGGGAAAUAUAGCUAACGAUGGGACUGCUGGUGAUGAACGCCCAAACUGCAGGACUGGGGGAUGGCUCACUGGAGAAAUCAGUUGUCAGACAGAGUCCAGAUCACUGGGAUGGAUAUAGGAUGUGGUAACCUGCAAUCCCAGCCAUGAGUCUGAAGACUGACUGUAAAUUGAAGGCCUGCCUGAGACACAAAGCACUGGUGAUGUUUUCAGUGUUACUCAUAAGACGAGAGGAAAAAACAGUGGGACAAACAGCCACGUGUCUUUAGUGAGCAACCUGUACAUUCCGCCUACCAACAAGGCGAGAGCGAUCCUGUUGGAGCCACAGAAGGCACCGAAUUCUUCAGAGCAUCAAUGACUGUGUGAAAAAGCCUUGACUCGGUAUCAGUGGAAACAAUUCUCAUUAAUGUUGCCUAACAUUUUUGUAGAUGAAUGUUGACAAAAUUAAAGACUCUGAGGGCUGCUGAAUAAAUCUGGGGUUGCCUAAGAUCUGGAAUAGGCAGACGUUAUUAUACACAACACCUUCCUGGUGUGAAAAGGAAAUAAGGCAGUUUACAGUGGAAGGAUUUCCCUGAAUGGAAAAGAAAACCUUAUCCCUUUCGCUGAAUCAACUGGAUUUUCAAAAAAGAAUAGUGCCCUUUGUUCAGUUCUUGGAGAUCCAGGAGCAUGGGAAACAAACUCAACCAAUACAACCUAACAUCCUAGAAGCCAGACACAAUCAAGUCCUCUUCAAUCUGGAGACAGCCGACUGAGUGGUUGAACAUCUGUGCCCUGGUGCCAGGCUGGCUGGGCUUUAAACCCUGUCUUGCCAAGCUACCGAGCUGCUCC